rnacentral:rRNA from 1 species
AUACGACUCUCGGCAACGGAUAUCUCGGCUCUCGCAUCGAUGAAGAACGUAGCGAAAUGCGAUACUUGGUGUGAAUUGCAGAAUCCCGUGAACCAUCGAGUCUUUGAACGCAAGUUGCGCCCCAAGCCGUUAGGCUGAGGGCACGUCUGCCUGGGUGUCACGCAUCGUUGCCCCCCAAAACCCCCCCCGGGGGAUCGUUGGGCGGCGGAAACUGGCCUCCCGUACGCUGCCAGCUCGCGGUUGGCCCAAAUUUGAGCCCCGAGGCAACCGUGCCGCGACGAUCGGUGGUGAAAUGAGCCUCUCGAACUCCCGUCGCCGGCUCGCGUCCUCUGUUGCGGGCUCGCGGACCCUUCGAGCGCCUUCUGUCUCUGGCGCUGCUAGCUUUGCGACCCCAGGUCAGGCGGGACUACCCGCUGAGUUUAAGCAUAUCAAUAAGCGGAGGAAAAGAAACUUACCAGGAUUCCCUUAGUAACGGCGAGCGAACCGGGAAGAGCCC